CUGAGUGCUGAGAUUACAGAUAUGUGCCACCACACCCGGCUGUCUUCAGGUUUAGAUACCCCGAAAUAACUAUUCUAUUUUCAGUGGUUGAAACUGUUGAUGAGUCUAGGCCAAGACCUGCCUGUUGGCUGACCUCUGCAGCAGCUGAAGUUGGAGAUGAUGACAAGGCUAUGUGAACGCUAAAUGGGAGAGAGACAGACAUUCCUGUUGUGUGUCCCACAGGACCUUCCGCCUCUAGCUGACAGCAUUAUCUAUAUUUUGGAAAGUCUCCAAUCAAGAGUCAAAGAUGAGGAGCUGAGGAUUUAGCUCAGAGGCACAGUGCCUGCCUGGCAAGCAAGAUCGCUGCACAGAUUGGGUUGUAACCCUCUGCUUCUGAGCCUGCCAUCCGUGAUCAGGAUUUAUAGUUGCUGACAACUUGCUUUAAUAAUUCACAAAGAACAGAUCCAUUUUGUGCUCUCCCUUUUCUCAGUCGAACAUUGAUGCCUACAGAUGGGGAACAUGCUUUUUUGUCAGUGAAAUAAAUCUAGAGGACUCAGAGACACCACAGAAGUAAUUCUGAAGGACUUGCCACUACUAAACAUUUCCCACCAAUGCACAACUAGAUAAAACCAGAAGCAGGGCAGGCUCUGCAGUGAACUCUGAGUUCUAGCACUUCUGCUCUCCUGCAGUUUUUCAGAAGGUUGGGUCGAUUUAUACUGGUAGCCAAAGGUCAUGGCUUUCAUGUUUUAAGGUUGUAGUGGACCUAAAGGAGCACCCAGUUCACUUUUGCAACACUUCCCAAGGCUGAAGCAAGAGUUUAUCCCAAAAUGAACUGCCUGACAACAGCACUGACCUAACCUUUGCCUCACAAAUGUAAAUUCUUUGGGUGGUUAAACUACUGUGACUUUGGACACAAGGGAUGUGGUCGAGGCCUCGGUAAUGAGUUGCUAGAAGCAUCCAACUUUCCCAGGAGACACAAAGAUACAUACUUAAAUGGUCAAAUUUAGUGUAUUUUCCCCUUCACAUUCUUAAAUACUAAUUCCUCCAGUAGAGGACAAAUUACUUCCCAAAACUGUUUCUUUUUCUCCCCUGCCUCUCUUUUUUUCUUCCCUCCUUUCUUUCCUUCCUUCCUUGCUUCCCUCCUUAUCUGCUAUUAUCUAGUUGGCAUCCAAAUAUUAAAUGGUGUUGAGGUAUA